GAGACUUCUGCUCCUCUCUGAUUGAAAUCCUGACUUGGAUGGAAAGCUGCUGACACAGGUCACAAAGGAUGGUGGAUGCUGUUGGGAGUAGCAGUUGGCCAAGAAGACAAAUUGCCUUCCUGGUACAGGCACUUGCCAUAGCUGUUGUGGUGUGCCUUGGAACAUGAUGUCCUCCACAGGUGGCAGCCUGCAGCAAGAAAUUGGUUGGACCUGCAGAGAUACAGCCCAAUGACAAGGGCUGGCACUUUGGAUUGCAACAUUACCGAAACGAAAAGCGUGAACACUACAGGAAUUUCUGCUCUAUGGAAAAAUGUUAUUUUUGGAUUCUUCAGGAAGGCGUGCAUAUAAAACCACCGGUUCCCUGCACUCUCUCUGUUGUCCGAUUUGUUAAACUCAAGUGGUCCCAUGUGUGAGUAGCAUGACUGCCAGAAGUGCUCUGCAGCCAUCUGCUUUUUUGCCUCAGAAGGACUGGGCUCUUCUCUGUCUGCCUGACUCUGUAAAGAAAUGACCAUGGAGAAGUGUUUCUCGGUGAUGAAUUUCACACAGAAAUCAGAUCCAAGGUCGUCUUCUUCUCUGGCAGGUCUGUGAUUUGGGGCCAGCCUUGAGGAAAUUCUGUCCUCUGCACGUGAGCAUAAGUCAAAACGGGAAGCGGUUCAGCAGAAGUCAGGAACGCUUCCACCGCAAUAAAUGAAAGCGUAAAUUAAAGCAGCUUCAAGGAGCAGCCGUGGCCUUAACACCACCUCUGAAAGGCUCAGUGCUUGCAGACUCAUAGAAAAAAUGGGUUUGGAAAGAUCUGUAGGCAUCCGGAUGAACCAUCUGCUCAGAGCUAACUUCCAAGCUUGAUGGGAGCCAUGCAGGGUAUUACCAGCUGGGUUUGCAAAACCAAAUGCCGUGGAGAAGGGAGUCCUUCUGUCUCAGGAGCAUUGUCACUUGCAGAUGAGCUGUGCCUAGCUUGGGGAUUUAUUGUUAAUUUUGCUCCUGUCUCAAAAGCCUUCGAUCACUCAGGCAAAUUAGAAGCCACAUAAUAAAGAAGAGAUCGG
rnacentral:lncRNA from 7 species